AUGCCAAUGUCUGAUGGAGACGGUUCAGCCAUGGGGAACAGAGUGUUUCUUUACUGCUGGACCCACCCAGAUGAAAGAGUACACCAUGAAACUUGCUGGUUGCUGCGCUGGAGGGUGGGAGCUCUGGAUGUUACAGUGACACCUUCAAUCCUGAAGGGAUACAUGUGACUUCCCCUCACAACUCAUUGACCAAAUCUAGUCAGAGGUGACCACAAGGGGGCUGGGAAAGUGCAACCUCACCAUGAUUCUCUGGGGCUGAGAGGUGGAAAGAUUCAAAGAAUAGCACUAAUUACUGGUACAGUUUUCAACUCAUUGACAUCUGGCUUCUAUCCAAACUAUACCCAGGCUUUGUUGUCACCAAUGACAAAUUAAGUUAACACAUUUUCACUUUAUAUUUCUUGACGUUUCUGUAGCACUUCAAAUUGUUGAAUAGUUUAUUCUUUAUUAAAUUCUAUGCAUUUUAGCCUCUUUCAUUAAAGGUGCUUUUUAUUAUAAGUAAUGAAAAAAAUAUUACAGAGUAGUUUAAAGAGUGACAUGGACUGUUUCUGGUGCAGGUAAAAAAAAAAACAAAAAACAAAAAACAAAUCUGAAAAUUCUCCUACCACUAAAUGCCUAGAAAGACUGGAUGCACACAGUAAAAAAAAAAAAAAAAAAACAAAAAACAAAUCUGAAAAUUCUCCUACCACUAAAUGCCUAGAAAGACUGGAUGCACACAGUAAAAAAAAACAAAACAAAACAAAAAAGCACUUUUUUUCGAAGUGGAUAAUUGAGUCAAAAAAAGGAAAGGAAAACAGAAUAUUUUUGUGAAUUUAGCAUAGGUGUAUUCCCCUAAGCAAAAUACAAAACAGAAACCAUAAAAGGAAUGUUACAAUCAAUUGAACAUAUUAACGUUUAGGUAUUUAGUAUUAAUUGAUAUGGAAACAUUUUAAAAAUAAGACAAAUCAUGUAUUUGUCAACCAUAUAUUGCAUAAAUUAUUUGUGUCAAGAGUACGUGGAAAGCUCCAGUAACUAAGAAGGAAAAAGACCCACAAAGAACCAAUUACAAAAGGGACAAAGUAUAUAAAUUUUUUUAAUGUUUAUUUAUUUUUGAGAGAGAAAGAGUGAGAGAGAGAUGCAGAGUGUAAGCAGGGGAGGGGCAGAGAGAGAGGGAGACACAGAUCUGAAGCAAGCUCCAGGCUCUGAGCUGUCAGCACAGAGCCCGAUGUGGGGCUCAAAUUCAUGAACCAUGGGCCAAAGUUGGCCGCUUAAUGGACUGAGCCACCCAGGCACAGCUAGAAAAGGGACAAAGUAUACAAAUAAGCCUCGGAUAAUGGAAUCGGUAUGCAAAAUAUACAUAUAAAAGUAGGUUGAAUAUGUACAACCUCAUGAGUAAUCAAGGAGAGGCAAAUUAUUACCAUAGAAAAAUGUGAUUUUAUAGCUAUAAAAAUGGGGAAAUGUAGUUAAAUGAAAUAAAUUCAAAUGCUAGUAAAAUAAGAAUUCA
rnacentral:lncRNA from 1 species